rnacentral:rRNA from 1 species
GAUGAACGCUGGCGGCGUGCUUAACACGUGCAAGUCGAACGGUGAAGCAGGAGCUUGCUCCUGUGGAUCAGUGGCGAACGGGUGAGUAACACGUGAGCAAUCUGCCCUGGACUCUGGGAUAAGCGUUGGGAACGACGUCUGAUACCGGAUACGAGGCGUGGGGGCAUCCCCAACGCCUGGAAAGAACUUCGGUCCAGGAUGAGCUCGCGGCCUAUCAGGUAGUUGGUGAGGUAACGGCUCACCAAGCCUACGACGGGUAGCCGGCCUGAGAGGGUGACCGGCCACACUGGGACUGAGACACGGCCCAGACUCCUACGGGAGGCAGCAGUGGGGAAUAUUGCACAAUGGGCGCAAGCCUGAUGCAGCAACGCCGCGUGAGGGACGACGGCCUUCGGGUUGUAAACCUCUUUUAGCAGGGAAGAAGCGAAAGUGACGGUACCUGCAGAAAAAGCACCGGCUAACUACGUGCCAGCCGCCGCGGUAACAC